UAACUAACAGGUAAAUAAUUAAUUCAUUAAUUAAAUAAACAUGUGUCGCGACCAAACAAUGUUUCUAAUAUGAAAUUGACGCCGCUAGAGUUGACGUGACCGAACGAGUUACGCCGCAUGAGACUUAAUACCUUUAAACCUAUAAUGAACUUAUAAACAACGCGAUACACGAGUAUUGUUAAAUUAUGCCGUAUUCAUACUAACUACGCGUUAAACACGACAUUCAAGUUGGCGUACACACACUAACAGGUAUCUACAAACGCAUAAUUAAAAUCAUUAAUUAGAUUCGAUGGAAUUUUUAUUUUACUAGUACACAACUAAACAAGUAAUCAAUUAUUUAAUGUAAACGGUAUAGUGAAAUAAUUUUACUAAAGCGCGUAAAUAAUGAUUUACGCGAACGACGACGCGAGCGAACAACAUGCUGAUAUUCGUUUAUAAAAGCGCAAGUUAAAAACCAUAGAGUAGUUGUAACUAAAUUGUUAUCUUAGUAACCGAUAGACCGACAAAUAACUAAUUAAUAAAUUAACUAAAACCUUUGAAAUGCGAGAACAAUAUUUUAACUGGUAGACCACAUUACUACGAAUCUAACGCAUUUGCGCGGAGUAAAACAGAUUUAUAGCACAAAAGAUAUGGCGCAUUCAGUAACCCAGGGACCUAUUCCUAAUUAACCAUAUACUUCAGCGGCUAGCAUAUAACUUUCUCAAGUAAAAAAAUAGCAUACCAUGCACAGAAAAAAUAGGGGCUUUUUCAGAAAUAGGCUCUCUUCCUCCUUGGGUCGUCACCACCGGGCAGGGCACGAACUCGCAUGGGGGUGGGGGGUUUGGCCAAUCGGCCGGUCGCCGCGCCACCGCACCUAGCCGCGCCCCCAGGGUAUGCGCCGGGGAGGGGCGGGCGAGCGCCACGCUAGGGCCAUGCCGCCGGGCUGGACCGGCUGCUAGGCGACAAGGUGCCAUGGCCAGCUUGCCAGGCUUGGUCGUGGCUAGCCGCCGCGCGCCGCGCAGGCUGGCCAUCGGGCCUUUUACUUUUCUCUCCUAUUUUCUUUAUGUCCUCUUCUUUUCUAUUCUCUCUACCAAUUCAAAUCGAAUUCAUUAAUAAAUGCAUGCUCCACAGGAUCAUUCAUCAAACAAAAAAUGCAAUAUCCUUCGACAUGAUGGAACAAUCAAACCACCUCCAGUGUUUUAUUUUACUAGGCUUAAACGUAUAUAAAACAAAAUAAUUCUACACUAUUUAGGAAAAAGAAAAGAAAAGCAAGGAAAAGAAAGGGUAACACCUGAAUUUGAUGGAUAUUAGAGAAAAAAUUUUAUACCCCCAAAUUCAGGGUGUUACAUGCAGCCACAUCCGAGGUCCACUGGUCACCACCCCACUGAUCAUCUCCUUGGUAAUCAGUUACUGUAGCAAACUCAGGGGCCGCAACAGCUUCCUCCUCCUGCUCCUUUGCUUCCUCUGGGUCUCUGUAGAAGAACAGAUCAACCUGCAAACGACAUUAUUAUCAAAUAAGAAUGGAAAGGUUACCAAUAAAACCUGGAAUCACCACAUCUCCAAUGUCAUUUUGGACAACAUCAUAAGCUAGCAUACCAUGACUUCCCACUUGUGCCCAGAGAGGAUAGUGCCCCUCAUCUGCAGAACCAUCCUGGCCAAAAGCCAGAACAGGCAUCCAAUGUUGUUCCUCCCCUUGUUGUUGGCAGGGAUGCCGAUAUCGACAUACCGCAUCGGAGAGUCAGUGUCGCAGAAGGCAAUGGUCGGGAUGUUCCCUAGAGCAGACUCCUUGAUUGGCUGCAAACAGUUACGCACUACAAUUAGUCCACCAUCACACUGCAGCAUUCAUAAAUAUUUCGUAAGAACUUUGGAACAGAAAUUCCCUUCACCUGAUGGUAAUAGGAACGACAUCUCAUCGUUUCUUACAUAUGAACAAUUGAUUAACAUCCUAUUUUUUACGACAACAUGAUUUGUUUGCCUCCAAUAUCUUAUCAAACUAUAAAAUCGGUGGUUCCAAUAUGGAUUGACAUUAUAUAUAAGAGUAUUUUGGUGCAGACUGAGUAUUCCAGUGGGUGGGAAAAAACAUGAACUACCAUGUAUAUAAUAUCAUGCAUAUAAGAGUAUUUCGGUGGGAGUGAAUGCUGUAAUGAAAUAGUGAGAGAUAUUUAAAGAGUAGUAUAUUGUAGGGAUAUAAUGCACAGAAUACAUGAACCACAUCACAAAAGUGGGAUGAUGAAUCAUGUAUCUAUGCUUUCAUUUAUGAAUCACGUAUCUAUGCACAGAAUACAUGAACCACAUCACUACCCAGAACAAGGACACAAGAUGAAGACUACUAUGAAGAGUUUUGGGUUGUCAUCGUUCCGAUCAGCCUGUGCCUCGUUAUCAAGAUUGUCGCCGUCAUUGCUUAGUUUCUUUCAUUUAGUUAUUUUUAUAAAGAUAUUUUAUUUAUAUAAUAAAGUUCGUAACACGAGUUUCUAUAUACUAAAUCAUCAUAUAUGUAAAAAUUAUCCAUGAUACACUGGAUCAGUGUCGGACCUGAAGGGGGAGGGGGUUCGGAUGGUGUGACAGAUCCGGGGGCCCUCAGGCCGUAGGGAUCCAUAAAUAACAUUAAUGAUGUAAAAUUGCUAUAUUUAUAUGCAUGGUUUGAAGAACGGGUACUAUAUGUCUAUAUUAACUUUUUACUUAUUAUUAUUAUUAUUAGUUUGCUUAGUGAAUUAAACGGAUUGAUCCGCUGCUACCUUAUUCUUUACAAGCUAAUAAUAAUAAUUACUAGCAUAAGAAAUAUAGUCAUUCUAUGAAAUUUAUAUGACAAACCCAUGAUAAAUCAACUUAUCUAGAAAGAAGUGAUUAAAGCACUAGUUUUUCUGAUUUCACGGUUUCCACCGUCGUUGUACUUUCCGACCCAUAUUUAAAUAGUAAAAAAUAUUAAAAUUAUGCAUAAAUGAGAAUUGAACAAUGGUUGUUGGCUCUACACCUAUAUUCACAUCUACCUAGCCAAUACAAUACACUUGCCUUUGUUUUUUAUAUUCAAUUCUUAAGUACAAAUAAAAAUCAUAACAAUGUAUGGAUACUUUGCUAGUCUAGAAUAAAGUGACUUCUCAAAAUAAAAACACCACAUCAGCUAAGAUGGUGACGGAAGACAUCUGGCAACACACUCGCGGGAGCAUAAAGAACUUAUCAAGGUUGUGAUUUUUAAUUGAUCACAUUCGAAUUUUAUUGGUAAAAUCAAUAUACAAUAUUAACAAGGGCUUCUAUUUAAAAUUUCGUUCUGGGCUCCUAAAAUCUAAGGACCGCCACUUAUCUAGAUUUGUCAUAAAAUCUCGGGAUGUGUAUAGAAUAUAUAUAUAACUAACAGUAGAAAGUACAACACUGAAUAAAUCAGAAUACCUACACCACCGACGUUCCCUGACGCAUUAGAAAAUCUAUCUCAAUUCUCAGUUGUAACUUCAGUACCCUACUGUAACCGUCCACAAGUACAUUUCUUGGUCGGGGAUGCCGAGCUCGAAGCUAAUCAGGCCAUAGGUGCCAUCGUAGGAGAAACCAACCGCCUUGGAAUCGACGGCGACACACGUUGGCUUGGUCGAGGAAUAAGCUCCGACCGUG
rnacentral:lncRNA from 1 species